rnacentral:rRNA from 1 species
UACGAAGGGGCUAGCGUUGCUCGGAAUCACUGGCGUAAGCGCACGUAGGCGGUCGUUAAGUCAGGGUGAAUCCUGGAGCUCAACUCCAGAACUGCCCUUGAUACUGGCGAUCUCGAGUUCGGGAGAGGUGAGUGGAACUGCGAGUGUAGAGGUGAAAUUCGUAGAUAUUCGCAAGAACACCAGUGGCGAAGGCGGACUCACUGGCCCGAGUACUGACGCUGAGGUGCGAAAGCGUGGGAG